rnacentral:lncRNA from 1 species
CGGGCGCGGGGGGCAGCGCCCGCAGGGUCGGACGGUUUUCCGACAGAAGCGAAGUAAGUGGGUGAGCCCGUGUUAGGCUCGGGCGGAAAGAAGGCAGGAGGCUGGGUGGUCACUUGCCUCGCGACCCCGAGUGGGCAGUAACGGCCCGAGAGGAAACUCCGGAGGGGGCUGCGUGGCCGGGCCUUCGCGCACAGUCUGUGCUCGCCGAGUCUUGGCACGAAAUAAGAUUGCAGCCUGGCUGGAAGAGAGCAAGAAGCGGGGGUCUGCCUGUAGCCCAGUGACAGCGCUGAAGAUAGCGGAGGGAUCAGGAGUCCCCAUUCAGCUCUUUCCACCUCAAAUCCAAGAGUGUGAGUUACGGCGAGGAGGCCUCCAGGAGAUACGUGGCAGAGCAAGGCCUGGUGGACAGGAGGCAGGAGGUAUCGCUAGCUCCCAAAUACUAUGAGAUUAAACUCAACGGAAAUAGGAUUUGUAUUGUUUUGGGCAUCUCUACACAAAGAAUCUUGGGGACAUCUGGAAGAGAGGUUGGAAAAAUAUGCAGAUUCCAGAGGUGUACACAAAUGCUAGUGUAUAAUUUUGGGGGAGUUACGGAGUGAGGUGACAUCUGAGAAGGCAUCAGGUAUUUCCAAUUCUCCAGUGGAGGGCAGCACUGGUAAAAAACUGUUUGCAAGCGGUGAGCAAAGGAGAGGGUUUUAGUCUCUGCUCUGAAAAGUGGAAGAUGUAGAUACUUAACCCUAACAGUGAUGAGUUUUUUUGGCUUGUAGAAUGGAGGAGAAUCAAUGUCCACAGAUGGUAUGGCAGGAAUUAUAACAGUAUCUAUAAAUAAACCAGCAUAAGUAUGAAGGUAUGUAUUAAAG